UUUUAGCCCCGAUAGUAGUGAAAAUCCUUUUCUUUUUUUCUUUAGAAAAGAAAAGAUUGCAACGGAUAGCGGGAAUAGCU
rnacentral:sRNA from 1 species